rnacentral:tRNA from 1 species
GCCCGGGUGGUUCAGUCGGUUAAGUGUCUGACUUCGGCUCAGGUCACACGAUCUUGCGGUUCGUGGGUUCGAGCCCCGCGUCGGGCU